ACGCUCGACACCUACGGGAGGCAGCAGUGGGGAAUAUUGCACAAUGGGGGAAACCCUGAUGCAGCGACGCCGCGUGAAGGAAGAAGUAUCUCGGUAUGUAAACUUCUAUCAGCAGGGAANAAAUGACGGUAUCUGACUAAGAAGCCCCGGCUAACUACGUGCCAACAGCCGCGGUAAUCUGAGCGGGCUGGCAAGGC
rnacentral:rRNA from 1 species